rnacentral:rRNA from 1 species
GGCGACGCAGAGCGGAACUUCAAAGCCUGUCUCAGUUCGGAUUGGAGUCUGCAACCCGACUCCAUGAAGCUGGAUUCGCUAGUAAUCGCGCAUCAGCCACGGCGCGGUGAAUACGUUCCCGGGCCUUGUACACACCGCCCGUCAAGCCAUGGAAGCCGGGAGUGCCUGAAGUGUGCAACCGCAAGGAGCGCCCUAAGGUAAAACCGGUGACUGGGGCUAAGUCGUAACAAGGUACC